CAUGCAAGUCGAACGGNAAAGGCCUCUUCGGAGGUACUCGAGNUGGCGAACNGGGUGAGUAACACGNUGGGNCAAUCUGCCCUGCACUUCGGGNAUAAGCCUGGGAAACUGGGUCUAAUACCGNAAUAUGACCUUUAGACGCAUGUCUCUNUGGUGGAAAGCUNUUUGCGGUGUGGGAUGGGCCCGCGGCCUAUCAGCUUGUUGGUGGGGUGAUGGCCUACCAAGGCGACGAGCGGGUAGCCGGCCUGAGAGGGUGUCCGGCCACAGCUGGGACUGAGAUACGGCCCAGACUCCUACGGGAGCGCAGCAUGUGGGGAAUAUUGCACAAUGGGCGCAAGCCUGAUGCAGCGACGCCGCGUGGGGGAUGACGGCCUUCGGGUUGUAAACCUCUUUCACCAUCGNACGAAGGUUCGGGUUUUNCUCGGAUUGACGG
rnacentral:rRNA from 1 species